rnacentral:snRNA from 1 species
AGCCAUGUGGUGAGCAUAAAGCAAACUAUUCUUUCGCCUUUUACUAAAGAAUACCGUGUGCUCUCCACAUUUAACGGCAUACGUACUCCUAUUUUUGGAGGAGUAACUUCUUCUGAAGUUU